rnacentral:rRNA from 1 species
AGAGUUUGAUCAUGGCUCAGGAUGAACGCUGGCGGCGUGCCUAAUACAUGCAAGUCGAACGAGGUGCCUUUGUAGCAAUACGAAGGUAUCCUAGUGGCGAACGGGUGAGUAACGCGUUGGUGACCUACCCCAAAGUGUGGGAUAACAGAUCGAAAGAUCUGCUAAUACCGCAUGUGGUCUUCGGAUUUAGAAACUGAUGACUAAAGGAGCAAUUCGCUUUGGGAGGGACCUGCGUCCCAUCAGCUAGUUGGUGAGGUAAUGGCUCACCAAGGCUACGACGGGUAGGGGACCUGAGAGGGUGGCCCCCCACAAUGGAACUGAAACACGGUCCAUACACCUACGGGUGGCAGCAGUAGGGAAUAUUGCACAAUGGGCGAAAGCCUGAUGCAGCAACGCCGCGUGUGCGAUGAAGGCCUUCGGGUCGUAAAGCACUUUUUUGAGGGAUGAGCAAGGACAGUACCUCAGGAAUAAGUCUCGGCUAACUACGUG